AUAAAAAAGUUAGUGAAAAUCCGUGAAGUGCGUUUUUGCGGUCGCAUUUCCGCUUUCUGCGAUGCCGAUUGGCUGGCUGGCGUGGACGAGUCCAUGGUGUAAUAAUGGGCGAGUCGAUUGAGAUCGGUGAGCUCCGUUGACUGGAUUAUUCCUGGGAAGAACAAAUCACUUGGUAUCAUUAAUUAAAUUGAGGAAUUGUCAAUUGUCUUUUUGGAUUGACUAGUGGGGCGUACCAGUGAGAAUUACGCUCACUAUUACGCUGUCAUGAUAAAAAUCUGGACAGGAUUUAAAAAAAGAAGACGUAAUAGUCGAUUUGUAUUCAUCCAAUAAGCUCACAAGAUUGGCAGGUGCCAAGCAGAUUCACAUAUUUGAUAGAAUAGCUGAUGAAACCAUCUCCUGGAUACAGGAGAAGAAAGCGGCUUACAGCUCGGACGACUACGGCCAAGAUUUAGAAGCGAGUCAAGCACUGGUAAGGAAGCAUCAAGGAUUCGAAACUGAUCUGGCGGCUGUGAAGGAACAAAUGGAGAGCGGUUAUUAGACAAUUCUCAUCGUGCGCAACAUAACGAACUUAACGAUUCAGUCGACGAACAUGAAUCUGCGAAUAUGUUAUCUCCGCUGAAAGGUGCUAUUGCUUCCGAAACAAUAGAACCUGCGACAUCUCAGAAGCCACUUGGUUUAUCACACAUGUUAGGCGAAAGAUUAAGAUGAGAUAUGAAAAAACACAUGUUCUCGAAGAUAAGUUAAAGUCAGGGAGUUGAUAAGGUUUCUCAUCAUUCAAGUACAAUUUGAAAUAGGAGUAUCAUAUAUAGUUUUUAAAAAUCAUUGUAAUCGCAAAUUGAAUCAUCAGGAUCUGGGUACAAUUGAAUGCAGCAGUUUCUCUACUGAAGUAGUUUAAUAUUUAAGUUUCAUUGAAUGCCAUGUGUAACAUAGCUUCAAUCACUGUCAACAUGUUUGUGAAUUCUACUAAGAGAACUUUCGAUUUUUAUGAACUUAAGAGGAUGCUAUAGUGACCGAAGAACUUCCUCGACGUCGGCAUUGCAGAUUAUUUUUCGAGGGAGACCAGGCUAUCGCUCUUUGUCCAACGCAUAGA
rnacentral:lncRNA from 13 species